CCAGCUGCAGCGCGGGGGAGGAGUGUGGGAGUAGACCCAGGUUGCAGGGCAACCUGGAGCCAAACAAUAUUCCUGCAUCCUGGGUUUGCGAGAUGGAGGAAGAGACGUCGGGAGUACGGAUGGUGUUAUCACCGGUAGAUAUGAAGCAGAGGAGCAUCGGAUUACUCUGACUUGUUUCUACACUGUACCCAAUGAUUUUUGAAAAUUCCUUGUUUCUAGGCCCACCUCUCUUCCCCAUCUCAUCGACGGCCAACCGGAACUGGCGUACACGGUGAUGUGCCUUCGAGGGUUCGACAGCGGGGCAAGGGAUUCCAGUACCUGGUUGACUGGGAGGGUUAUGGCUCGGAGGACAGGUGUACCCUGUCACACAUUCCCUGGAUUACUGACCUAAGCCUGCCAUGAUCCCGAACCUGUCUGCCGUUCUGUACCUUUCAGACUCUGCGCUGGAGUACUGACCUCUGCCUACCUGAUGUUUGCCUGCCCCCG